CACGUAGGGCGCAAGCGUUGUCCGGAAUUAUUGGGCGUAAAGAGCUCGUAGGUGGUUUGUUACGUCUGCUGUGAAAACCUAGGGCUUAACCCUGGGCUUGCAGUGGAUACGGGCAGACUAGAGGUAGGUAGGGGAGAAUGGAAUUCCUGGUGUAGCGGUGAAAUGCGCAGAUAUCAGGAGGAACACCGGUGGCGAAGGCGGCGUCCUGGACCAACACUGACACUGAGGAGCGAAAGCCAGGGGAGCAAACGGG
rnacentral:rRNA from 1 species